UACGAAGGGGGCUAGCGUUGCUCGGAAUCACUGGGCGUAAAGGGUGCGUAGGCGGGUUUUUAAGUCAGAGGUGAAAUCCUGGAGCUCAACUCCAGAACUGCCUUUGAUACUGAAGAUCUUGAGUUCGGGAGAGGUGAGUGGAACUGCGAGUGUAGAGGUGAAAUUCGUAGAUAUUCGCAAGAACACCAGUGGCGAAGGCGACUCACUGGCCCGAUACUGACGCUGAGGCACGAAAGCG
rnacentral:rRNA from 1 species